rnacentral:lncRNA from 1 species
UUUUUUUUUUUGAGAUGGAGUCUCGCUCUUGUUGCCCAGGCUGGAAUGCAAUGGCACAAUCUUGGCUCACCACAACCUCCACCUCCCAGGUUCAAGGGAUUCUCCUGCCUCAGCCUCCCGAAUAGCUGGGAUUACAGGCAUGCACCACCACACCCGGCUAAUUUUGUAUUUUUAGUAGAGACAGUUUCUCCGUAUUGGUCAGGCUGGUCUUGAACUCCUGACCUCAGGUGAUUCACCCGCCUCGGCUUCCCAAAGUGCUGGGAUUACAGAGGUAAGCCACUGCACCCAGCCGUAUUACUCUUUUAAGAAAUUACAGACUUUGGAUAUUCCA